AUUCUAUACAAGAGGUUGAAUAAUUUUGAGACUGGAUCAUUAUAAGUUGCAUUUUCAGUUGAAUUUGGGGAAACCACUUGAAGCAGUCAUUGUGCUGAGCUAUUUCAAUAGCUUUUGUUUGAUUUGUUCAUUGUAAACAGCUGAAAGUCUGUAAGUUUUGACAAUAAACCUGAUUUUUACUUUUUACUAAUAUCCUGAGUCU